rnacentral:rRNA from 1 species
AUUGAACGCUAGCGGCAUGCCUUACACAUGCAAGUCGAACGGUAACGCGGGGCAACCUGGCGACGAGUGGCGAACGGGUGAGUAUGCAUCGGAACGUGCCCAGAAGUGGGGGAUAGCCCGGCGAAAGCCGGAUUAAUACCGCAUGAGACCUGAGGGUGAAAGCGGGGGAGCGCAAGACCUCGCGCGUUUGGAGCGGCGGAUGUCAGAUUAGCUAGUUGGUGGGGUAAAGGCCUACCAAGGCGACGAGCUGUAGCUGGUCUGAGAGGACGACCAGCCACACUGGGACUGAGACACGGCCCAGACUCCUACGGGAGGCAGCAGUGGGGAAUUUUGGACAAUGGGCGCAAGCCUGAUCCAGCCAUGCCGCGUGCGGGAAGAAGGCCUUCGGGUUGUAAACCGCUUUUGUCAGGGAAGAAACGCUCUGGGCUAAUACCCUGGGGUAAUGACGGUACCUGAAGAAUAAGCACCGGCUAACUACGUGCCAGCCGCCGCCGUAA